CCUACGGGUGGCAGCAGUCGAGAAUCAUUCACAAUGGGGGAAACCCUGAUGGUGCGACGCCGCGUGGGGGAAUGAAGGUCUUCGGAUUGUAAACCCCUGUCAUGUGGGAGCAAAUUAAAAAGAUAGUACCACAAGAGGAAGAGAUGGCUAACUCUGUGCCAGCAGCCGCGGUAAUACAGAGGUCUCAAGCGUUGUUCGGAAUCACUGGGCGUAAAGGGUGCGUAGGCAGUUUCGUAAGUCGUGUGUGAAAGGCGCGGGCUCAACCCGCGGACGGCACAUGAUACUGCGAGACUAGAGUAAUGGAGGGGGAACCGGAAUUCUCGGUGUAGCAGUGAAAUGCGUAGAUAUCGAGAAGAACACUCGUGGCGAAGGCGGGUUCCUGGACAUUAACUGACGCUGAGGCACGAAGGCCAGGGGAGCGAAAGGGAUUAGAUACCCCAGUAGUC
rnacentral:rRNA from 1 species